CUCUGUCACUAGUUACCCUCUCCCUCACUCUGUCACUAGAGUAAGUGGGUGACUAGUGACAGAGUGAGGGAGGGGGUGACUAGUGACAGAG
rnacentral:miRNA from 1 species